AACACAUGCAAGUCGAACGGGCGUAGCAAUACGUCAGUGGCAGACGGGUGAGUAACACGUGGGAACGUACCUCUUGGUUCGGAACAACACAGGGAAACUUGUGCUAAUACCGGAUAAGCCCUUACGGGGAAAGAUUUAUCGCCGAGAGAUCGGCCCGCGUCUGAUUAGCUAGUUGGUAGGGUAAUGGCCUACCAAGGCGACGAUCAGUAGCUGGUCUGAGAGGAUGAUCAGCCACAUUGGGACUGAGACACGGCCCAAACUCCUACGGGAGGCAGCAGUGGGGAAUAUUGGACAAUGGGGGCAACCCUGAUCCAGCCAUGCCGCGUGAGUGAUGAAGGCCCUAGGGUUGUAAAGCUCUUUUGUGCGGGAAGAUAAUGACGGUACCGCAAGAAUAAGCCCCGGCUAACUUCGUGCCAGCAGCCGCGGUAAUAC
rnacentral:rRNA from 1 species